rnacentral:rRNA from 1 species
UUACCUCAGUAACGGCGAGUGAAGCGGUAACAGCUCAAAUUUGAAAUCUGGCUCUUUCAGGGUCCGAGUUGUAAUUUGUAGAAGAUGCUUCGGGUGUGGCCCCGGUCUAAGUUCCUUGGAACAGGACGUCAUAGAGGGUGAGAAUCCCGUAUGUGACUGGGUGCCUUCGCCUAUGUGAAGCUCUUUCGACGAGUCGAGUUGUUUGGGAAUGCAGCUCAAAAUGGGUGGUAAAUUUCAUCUAAAGCUAAAUAUUGGCCAGAGACCGAUAGCGCACAAGUAGAGUGAUCGAAAGAUGAAAAGCACUUUGGAAAGAGAGUUAAACAGUACGUGAAAUUGUUGAAAGGGAAGCGCUUGCAACCAGACUUGCACGUUGUCGAUCAUCCGGGGUUCUCCCCGGUGCACUCGAUCUCGUUCAGGCCAGCAUCGGUUUUGGUGGUGGGAUAAAGGCCUUGGGAAUGUAGCUUCUUUCGGGGAGUGUUAUAGCCCUCGGUGCAAUGCCGCCUACCGGGACCGAGGACCGCGCUUCGGCUAGGAUGCUGGCGUAAUGGUUGUAAGCGACCCGUCUUGAAACACGGACCAAGGAGUCUAACAUCUAUGCGAGUGUUUGGGUGUCAAACCCAUACGCGUAAUGAAAGUGAACGGAGGUGAGAACCCUUAAGGGUGCAUCAUCGACCGAUCCUGAUGUCUUCGGAUGGAUUUGAGUAAGAGCAUAGCUGUUGGGACCCGAAAGAUGGUGAACUAUGCGUGAAUAGGGUGAAGCCAGAGGAAACUCUGGUGGAGGCUCGCAGCGGUUCUGACGUGCAAAUCGAUCGUCAAAUUUGCGUAUAGGGGCGAAAGACUAAUCGA